rnacentral:rRNA from 1 species
GAGUUUGAUCCUGGCUCAGAUUGAACGCUGGCGGCAUGCCUUACACAUGCAAGUCGAACGGCAGCACGGGAGCAAUCCUGGUGGCGAGUGGCGAACGGGUGAGUAAUACAUCGGAACGUGCCCAGUAGUGGGGGAUAACCCGGCGAAAGCCGGACUAAUACCGCAUACGACCUACGGGUGAAAGCAGGGGAUCGCAAGACCUUGCGCUAUCGGAGCGGCCGAUGUCAGAUUAGCUUGUUGGCGGGGUAAAAGCCCACCAAGGCGACGAUCUGUAGCUGGUCUGAGAGGACGACCAGCCACACUGGGACUGAGACACGGCCCAGACUCCUACGGGAGGCAGCAGUGGGGAAUUUUGGACAAUGGGCGCAAGCCUGAUCCAGCCAUGCCGCGUGCGGGAAGAAGGCCUUCGGGUUGUAAACCGCUUUUGUCAGGGAAGAAACGCUCCGGGUUAAUACCCUGGAGUAAUGACGGUACCUGAAGAAUAAGCACCGGCUAACUACGUGCCAGCAGCCGCGGUAAUACGUAGGGUGCAAGCGUUAAUCGGAAUUACUGGGCGUAAAGCGUGCGCAGGCGGCUUUGCAAGACAGAUGUGAAAUCCCCGGGCUUAACCUGGGAACUGCAUUUGUGACUGCAUGGCUGGAGUGCGG